GACGAACGCUGGCGGCGUGCUUAACACAUGCAAGUCGAACGGAAAGGCCCUGCUUUUGUGGGGUGCUCGAGUGGCGAACGGGUGAGUAACACGUGAGUAACCUGCCCUUGACUUUGGGAUAACUUCAGGAAACUGGGGCUAAUACCGGAUAGGAGCUCCUGCUGCAUGGUGGGGGUUGGAAAGUUUCGGCGGUUGGGGAUGGACUCGCGGCUUAUCAGCUUGUUGGUGGGGUAGUGGCUUACCAAGGCUUUGACGGGUAGCCGGCCUGGGAGGGUGACCGGCCACAUUGGGACUGAGAUACGCCCCAGACUCCUACGGGAGGCAGCAGUGGGGAAUAUUGCACAACGGGCGGAAGCCUGAUGCAGCAACGCCGCGUGCGGGAUGACGGCCUUCGGGUUGUAAACCGCUUUCGCCUGUGACGAAGCGUGAGUGACGGUAAUGGGUAAAGAAGCACCGGCUAACUACGUG
rnacentral:rRNA from 1 species